rnacentral:lncRNA from 1 species
CUCGGCUCAAACUGUAACAAAAGGAAAACCUUUUUUUUUUUUAUUAUUUGCUGAGGUGCUUUUUCCUGCACAGAGAGGAAGUUGACCCUCUGCAGUUCUCAUCACAGUACGCACCGGACCGGAUCUGUAAUGGAAAGCCAGCGUUGGGACGCCCCAUAUGUUCCCGAUGGACAGGAAGUCUGGGGUACAGCAGGAGGGCUGGGACAGUAAUGACUUCAGCCUGUCAUUCUAUAGCAGCAUCCAUGACGGACUCAUUAAUACACAUCUGGGGUCAUUAUGAAUCGGACCUUUAUUAUUCCACUUCCACUUCAAAGCAGCAGGCACUGUAGAGGCGUUUACGUCAGUGGGGUGGCACGCGCCAAAAAAGACUAAAGACUCCGACAUGUGCAAUGCAAAGCGCUUCCAGCGGCUGCUCAUCUUUUGUACUUUCAGGGAGAAAAAUUACAGAAGGACUACAGGUCAUCAUCAAUCAUAAUCAAGGGCAUAGACUUUAGAUGGGGUGCUAGGGACCAUUUAGUAAUCCAGCGACUACUAAACAAUUCAAUAUAUACAGAAGUGGCCAAAAUUAUUAGAAGGCUAGUAUUUCACAAAAAAAGGGUUUUAAGUCAGUUAUUUCGAUCUCUUGCUUUAGUGUGUCAGUAGGAAAUAUCAGUUCACAUUUCUAAACAUUAAUUUUGCCAAUAAUCCAGUGAGAUUUUUAUGCUCCACACAGAGAUCUGAUCUGAUCAUCAUCAGUCUGUCUGGAAUAACAUGAAGAAACAGAACAAACUGAGACAGACUCAAUCCAGAAGAACUGUGCCAACGUCUCCGAAAUGCUUCAAGAAACCUGCAAAGCUACAGUAUGUGAAAAGUUGUAGGCACUUGUGUAAAAAUGCUGGAAAACAAGGAUGUUGUCAAAAAUAAUGUCAUAAAUAGAUUUUCUUUAUCAAUUAACUUCUGUUAAGUAAAUUGAAUCAACAUUUGUCUGAGCGUCCUUUGCGUUUAAAGCAGCUCUAGGUGCACUUGCACAUCGUUGUUCAGGGAGCUUUGCAGGUGAGUUUCAUGAAGUAUCUUUGGAAGCAUACUGUAGACCAUGAUGUGUUUAUGUACAUUGAUUAGUAAAACAUCAGCAAAACAACCAAAAAACACAGACUUCAAAACCAAGUGGGCUAGUAGUCUAUUGCAGUUGCAUUGCUGUUGUACCAUUUUAGCAUAAUAUUUGCUUGUAAUCAAUUGAGUCCUUAAUUUAAAAGUAUAAAU